rfam:Triticum aestivum genome assembly, contig: Triticum_aestivum_CS42_TGACv1_scaffold_322607_4BL
GUGUGAAUCCCAGGGCGCUUCUCCUUUGGCACGGAGGCAUACUUGUACUGAUGGUCGGAGUUGGCCAGGUGAAGAAGCUCCAGGCCGUGUCGCGCGUGCCAAAGGAGAAUUGCCCUGCGAUUCACCU